rnacentral:rRNA from 1 species
UAGCUUGAAGUCAGACAAGUGA